CUUUUUGGCGGAUGAAAGUGACGCCUUUGACACAUUCGGGCUGCUCUUGGCCUUAACCAAAGGCGAGCCACUGCCGCCGAUCGCGCAUUUAGAUACGUUAUCGAACAUGGUGGAAAACCUAAGGUCAGAUUCGCACUGUUUUAAAUCGUCUCUUCGCACGAUGUCAAGCACGAGUUGAAGCAAUUCAUUAUUUUACGCAAACUUGUAUACAUACAUCCGUACAUGUACGAACGAUGUAUGGCUGGACACUCGUAGGUAUAUCGAAAAAUACCGAAUUUAAUUAUGAAGCAUUGUAAAAUCUGUAAAACAGAUGAUAUAUAUCUAUAACUACCACCCGAUAGGAUCGGUACUUAAAAAUUAACGGCUUGUCAUUGCCAGAUCGUUCGCUGCACUUGUCGCCAACUCGAGAUCGCACCCUCGAUCACUGACACCAACGAGAUCGCGAUAAUUCUCGCACUUGCUGACGCCGCGGGAUGAAUGGCUGUUGGAGGAGAGCUUUUUCUCUCUGCCGCGCGCAAAACGAGCCACGACUAAGUGCCGUAAAAGAGCCGCGUAAAAGUGUAUACGCAUCCGACUGCGAGAGCAGAAGUGAAGAAGCGAAAGAGAGAAAGGCAGACGAUACAGGAGGAAGGGAUGAAGGAGUGAGGGAAAUUAAGGGGAGAGGAUCGAGAGGGCCCGGCAAGGGGGAAAGGAACAGAUUAUCUUGAAGCCGGUUGAACGCAUCGGCCUGCAACUCUCAACUGGCAGGAAGAUACAGCCGGUUAAUGCUUGGGUUUGCCAGCUUAUCAUUUUCAUUGAAGGGGGUACGCCGCGCUUUUUUUGCUCCGAUAAACUCCGAGACACGAGAGACAAACCGGAAGGCGUAACAGCAAGAGAGAUUCUCUUAAUGUUUCGUCAUAUCGAGAGGUUUUCGAGGCAAGCGAUAUCGACGAGAUUACGACGGAUGAACGGUUUCGGAGUGCAUUACGUACUUCUAAAGACAGAUGAUGAUGAAACAAAUAUAUUAAAUGUUGAAGUUUCACUGAAACUAGCAAGGUUUUCUGAAAACAUAAUUUCUUAAAUCUUUUAUUUUUUUUUUUUAGUAUUUGUUAUUAUACGUAUAUUAUUAUUAUUAAAUAUUUUAUUAUUUAUACAUAAUCUUUAUUACGAAGGAAUACUAUUCUGAUUAUCAGGGAAGUGUCUCAAUUUAUGGCUUGCGAUUUGUCAGAACCGUUGUUAAGAUUU